rnacentral:lncRNA from 1 species
UCGUGAAGACGGUGACGAAUCGGGUCGAGGAGAGAUCGGAUUGGGGAUCGAGGUUAGGGUUUUCUGGGGUUAUGGAGAGGGAGUAGGAGGAGAUGAGGAAGGUUUUGCAGGGACGUGCGGAGGUGGUGGAGAUUGAGAGGGAGGAGAUGGUGAUCGCGAGGAGGAGGAGGAGGAGGAGGUGAGAGGACGACGCCAUUGUUGUGUGUUGUCUUUGACUUCUUCUUCUUCUUUGGGAUAAAAGACGAUAUGCCAGAAGAUUCGGUGAAGAUAUUAUUAAUAAGCCCCUCUAUUAUUG